GGGACAUCAGUCAUCAGAUAAACGAGGAGGCUUCCUUUGGAGAUCAUCUCCCUCUUCUUUCUGGUUGUUUUUAGAUUUUGUUUCUCUUUUGUGUUCUUGAGUCUUACUACAAGGUGUGUAGUCUGCAUUUCUUUGAUUUUACCCAAUUCAGAAUCCUGGUGUCUUUAUUAAACUUGAGAAACUCCCAAUCGUUUUCUUGGGAGAGUACGUCUUCUCUGUUGUCUGUAUUAUCUUUUUUCUCAACUUCAACCAGACAUUUUCUGAGCUACUUUUUCUUGACAGGUGCUCUGUUGUAGAUGGGAAAGCUCCUUUCGGCAAGGGACUGUUCCUUGUAUUAUGGGGCAUUCUACAUUCCUGGUUCCCAGACACUAACCCGUGAUGAAAGUGCUCCACACUUUUCCAGACUCCCCUAAAGUAACACUGUGUCAACUCUUUGUCCCACCGUGACAAAUCUUUCUUCCCUAUAUCUCUUCUCACUUGUCAUCAUUUUUAAAACCAAUUUGCCUCUCUGUGUGUGCUGAGUUUUGAGAAAUUUAUUAAGUACUGCGUUCUGUCACCAAUUUUCCCUUCAGCUGGGUUUAGCAAUCUCUUCAACCUUUCCAGGCUGGGUGUAGUGAUGCACACUUGUAAUCCCAGCAGCUCGGGAGGCUGAGGCAGAAGGGUCAUGAGUUCAAAGCCAGCCUCAGCAAUUUAGCGAGGAGCUAAGCAGCUCAGUGAGACCCUGUCUCUACAUAAAAUACAAAAUAGGGCUGAGGAUGUGGCUCAGUGGUUGAGUGCCCCUGAGUUCAACCCCCAGUACUCCUCCCCCCAAAAAACCCCCAAACAAAAAACUUUUCCAUUGAGUUUUUAUAUUUAAUGUUUUUUUUUAUUUGUAGAAGUUUUAAAAAUAUGGUUCCUUUGUAACAGUGCUUGGUCAUCAUUAAUAGUGUUGUAUUAUUUUGUCAUAUUUAUAUUAUCUUCUUUUAUUUCUUUUAACGUACUCACUCUUUUAUAUUUAAUUGAGCCCAGUUUGCCAUUGAUUGAAACAUCACUGUUUAUAUGUCACUAAGAAAGAUUAGAGGAUCUCUCUGUGAUGGACAAGUGUUUUUAUAAUCUCCUGUACGGAGAGUUAUUUUUUCUUUUUGAUUCAGUAUACUGACGGCGUGGACAGAAUGUUAUCCAUUUUUAGAACCUGAUCAAAGAUGUCCCAUUAUUCACUGUGAUUUCCCUGUAAUCUGAAUCAAGACUUAAGUUUUAGGAGUUUAGUGAGAGGCUCAGUGUAGUAGUCAGCUUGGGCUGCUAUGACAAAAUGCAGCAGACAGGGCGGCUUGAACAACAGAAAUCUAUUUCUCACAGUUCUGGGGGCUGUCAGGAUUGGCAGGCCCUCUGCCAGGUGUGUAGGUGGCUGUCUUCUUGCUGUGUCCUCACAUGAUCUUUUCUCUGUGUGCACACAGAGAGCUCUGGCAUCCCUUUCUCUUCUCAUAAUGACACCAGUCCUCUUUGAUUAGGGCCCCACCUCUAUGACCUUAUUUAAUCUUAAUUAUCUCCUUAAAAACCUGGUCUCCAGGGCUAGGUUGGGGCAUCAACGUAUGCAUUUUGUGGAAGAACACCAAUAACUCCAUAAGAGAUAGUGACUCUAAUAUAAUUCAAAUUUCAAAGGAAAAUCUUGUUGCACACUAUAUAUAUAUACUACAUUAUAAUCUCACAAAUUAUUUUAUAAUUACUAAAAUUCUAUUUUUUCUAUCCAUAAUACUAUCUUUUUCUUUGCAAACUGAUACAUCAGGUGUGGAUGAUAUUGAUGUUUCCUUAUUGUCACAAGGAGACGUACUUUCAGCUGUGUGUCUCUUUACACAGUCUCCCAUCUGCUAGAGCUGCCAGCUACCAUAUGCAUUUUUAAGACAACGGCCAUCCUAAUCAGAGUCUGUGGACAUGAACAUGGAGUACAGCUAAGUGUCCUGUAGAGCAGUGGAACCUAUUUUCUGUCCAGGUCAAGCCUUGGUGGCCCUUCCUUGAUGACUCAGCCCAUCUGGCCCUCUGGGACUGUCCACGGCUUUAGGAAAGAGACUGCUUCUCCCCCUGGACCCUGCUGUCACUGGCUGCCCUGAAGCCCUAGUUCCUGGGCCAUAUUACUCCACAGUGGCCCUGUCAACCUCACCAGCAGGCCUGGCCGUUGUGCUCUCUGUACUUCUGCAGCUCACCGAGAUACUCUGGGUCUUUUCUGCUCCACGUGGCCCCUGGGGAGCGUGAGGGGUUAUUGCAGGAAAAAGACGGGUCUCCACUUGUUCCUUCCACCUCUAUUUUUCUUUCUUUUCUUCUCCCCAUUUUCUACUAAGGCAGAGCCUCUUGUGUUUCCCUGUCUUAUAUGUGACAUCUUCUGAGCUUUUUUAGGUCUGUGAGGCCUGGUUCUUAGUGUGUAAAUGGAAGCUUUAAAAUUUAGCACUUUUAUUCAACCAAACAUUUCCUGUAAGGAUACAAAUGAGAAAGAACCCUAUUUUCUUUUCUGGAAAUAAAUAGUAACAAGGAAGUUGCCAUUUGUCAUGUGUCCUGGUUCACUCUGUCACCAUCCUCCUCCACAUGGUACUUAAGGGCGCCCAGCAGAAGGAGGCUCCAGACCUCCCUCUCCUCUCCUGGGUCCUCUCCUCUCUGCACCUGAGUCCUCUCUACUGACAACAUGGGUUGCUGUGGCUGUGGAGGCUGUGGAGGCUGUGGUGGCUGUGGUGGUUGUGGUGGCUGCGGUAGCUGUGGCAGCUGUGGCUGCGGCAGCUGUGGCUGUGGUAGCUGCGGUGGCUGCGGUGGCUGUGGUGGCUGCUGUGGCUGCUGUGGCUGCUGUGGCUGCUGCACCCCCAGGACGUGCUGCUGCCGCCGCACCUGCUGCCGCUCCUGUGGCUGUGGCUGUGGGAAGGGCUGCUGCCAGCAGAAGUGCUGCUGCAAGAAGCAAUGCUGCUGCUAGGCAACCGUGGGCUCUGCCUCCGCUGAGAGAUGCUGAGUCCUGCUCUCCUCUUUUAGUGAGAUGCUCUUCCACUGCGCUCUGCUUCUUUCCCACACAUUUCUGCUUGGAAGCAGGAGGAUCUCCUGCAACUUACUCCUUUGGACUGCAUACUCAUCUCUUUGACCCAGUAGUUUAAAACCUUUUUAUAUAAAAAAAAAAGUUCCAAAGUAGGAAAUGGCCAUUAAAUAAUGUAACUGGAGCCCAGUACCUGACA
rnacentral:lncRNA from 1 species